CCUACGGGUGGCAGCAGUGAGGAAUAUUGCGCAAUGAAGGAAACUCUGACCCAGCGAUGCCGCGUGAAUGAAGAAGGUUUUCGGAUUGUAAAGCUCUUUCGUAUGUGACGAUGAUGACGGUAGCAUCUAAAGAGGCCCCGGCUAACUUCGUGCCAGCAGCCGAGGUAAUACGAAGGGGGAAAGCCUUGUUCGGAAUUACUGGGCGUAAAGGGAGUGUAGGCGGGUUAGUAAGAUCGUGGUGAAAACCCAGAGCUUAACUUUGGAAUUGCGAUUAUGACUAUUAGACUAGAAUUACAGAGAGGAUAGUGGAAUACCCAGUGUAGAGGUGAAAUUCGUAGAUAUUGGGUAGAACACCAGAGGCGAAGGCGACUAUCUGGCUGUACAUUGACGCUGAGGCUCGAAAGCAUGGGGAUCAAACAGGAUUAGAUACCCGUGUAGUC
rnacentral:rRNA from 1 species